rnacentral:rRNA from 1 species
GGCUCAGAUUGAACGCUGGCGGCAUGCCUUACACAUGCAAGUCGAACGGCAGCACGGACUUCGGUCUGGUGGCGAGUGGCGAACGGUGAGUAAUGUAUCGGAACGUACCUUUCAGUGGGGAUAACGUAGCGAAAGUUACGCUAAUACCGCAUAUUCUGUGAGCAGGAAAGCAGGGGAUCGCAAGACCUUGCGCUGAUUGAGCGGCCGAUAUCAGAUUAGCUAGUUGGUGAGGUAAAGGCUCACCAAGGCGACGAUCUGUAGCGGGUCUGAGAGGAUGAUCCGCCACACUGGAACUGAGACACGGUCCAGACUCCUACGGGAGGCAGCAGUGGGGAAUUUUGGACAAUGGGGGCAACCCUGAUCCAGCCAUGCCGCGUGAGUGAAGAAGGCCUUCGGGUUGUAAAGCUCUUUCGGCCGGGAAGAAAUCGCAUGGGCUAAUACCCUGUGCGGAUGACGGUACCGGCAUAAGAAGCACCGGCUAACUACGUG